CAGCAGCCACGGUAAUACGAAGGGUGCAAGCGUUAAUCGGAAUUACUGGGCGUAAAGCGUGCGUAGGCGGUGAGUUAAGUCUGCUGUGAAAUCCCCGGGCUCAACCUGGGAAUGGCAGUGGAUACUGGCUCGCUAGAGUGUGUCAGAGGAUGGUGGAAUUCCCGGUGUAGCGGUGAAAUGCGUAGAGAUCGGGAGGAACAUCAGUGGCGAAGGCGGCCAUCUGGGACAACACUGACGCUGAGGCACGAAAGCGUGGGGAGCAAACAGGAUUAGAGACCCCAGUAGUCCAUGUCUCUUAUAC
rnacentral:rRNA from 1 species